rnacentral:lncRNA from 1 species
AUGGGAGCCAGGUCUUAUGCCCCAGACAAGCCUCACCUGCCCCUUGCUGUGCCCCAAGGCUCUGGUGAGGGCCUGGCCGGCCCACAGUCACCGCUUGUGUGCAGAGAGGCCACAGGAAUGUGUGCCCAGCCAUGUCCGAGGCCACCCCUGGGCUCCGUCUCCACCUGCCUCCAGCGGCCCCUCGUUCCCCUCCACCUGCUCAGACCACUUCCCAGUCAGUCGCUGUCUCCACCAGGGCCUGAGCCGCUGCAGCCCCUCCUCUCCAGGUCCCUGCUGGCCCCUCCUCUGGCUGUCAGCGGGGCCUGCCCACCAGUCCCUCGGCAGUGGGAAAGCGUUCAGGGAAGCGGCCGGGAGGGGCGCAGGUGGAGGCAGAGCCGGGGCUGGAGGAGACCAAAGCUCUCCAGGCCCUACCCCGUCCGCGGCUCCGGCCUCACCUGGCGGGCCCCGUGCAGAGCUGUGGGAAGCCGCCGGCCCACUGUCAUCGUCUUCCCUUUAUCAAGAAUUGAUCAUUUUCCAGGUGGCGUCUCGGCUCCUCUUCUGAGAAAUUAUAGAUCCACGGGGAGAAAGUCCACACCCAGAAAAACCCACGAUCCGUUUACUCAGCAGAAAACGCGGACUCAGCAGGGGCCUGGGGCCAGUGGACCUGGGCGGCCUCUUCUCAGGAGAAGUCCGGGUGUGGGGGCCCCUGGCCUGUGUCAGGCCAUGCACCACACCUGGGAGCCCUGCACACUCCAGGUGGGAAGGGAGAAUCUGUCCCUGUUCUCCUCCUUUGGGAGAGGCCGAGCGUCGUGGGCAGGCGGAGCCUCACCGGGGUUGUGGCAGCUGGUAAGGGGGCUCCAGGCCUCUGAUUCCUGUGGUAACACCGAGGCCUACACACACAUUCAGCCCACUGAGUUCCAGAGGCCCCCAUCACUGCCACCACCCCCGAUGGCCGCACUGCCCCUGUGGCCUGUUCUGGCUCAAGGCCGGUGGCCUCCCAGGCUCCUGUGUUCAGGCUGCGCAGAGCCUGGCUUUCCGUAG